rnacentral:rRNA from 1 species
AUUGAACGCUGGCGGCAUGCCUUACACAUGCAAGUCGAACGGUAACGGGCCUUCGGGUGCCGACGAGUGGCGAACGGGUGAGUAAUGUAUCGGAACGUACCUUUCAGUGGGGGAUAACGUAGCGAAAGUUACGCUAAUACCGCAUAUUCUGUGAGCAGGAAAGCAGGGGAUCGCAAGACCUUGCGCUUCUUGAGCGGCCGAUAUCAGAUUAGCUAGUUGGUGGGGUAAAGGCGCACCAAGGCGACGAGCUGUAGCGGGUCUGAGAGGAUGAUCCGCCACACUGGAACUGAGACACGGUCCAGACUCCUACGGGAGGCAGCAGUGGGGAAUUUUGGACAAUGGGGGCAACCCUGAUCCAGCCAUGCCGCGUGAGUGAAGAAGGCCUUCGGGUUGUAAAGCUCUUUCGGCCGGGAAGAAAUCGUAUCAGCUAAUACCUGGUGCGGAUGACGGUACCGGCAUAAGAAGCACCGGCUAACUACGUGCCAGCCGCCGCGGUAACAC